CACCAAUCAAGCCUGGCUUGGUGUUGGGCCCCGGGGAGACCCGGGCCCCAAAGUUCGCCGGCCGGACGUCCCGGAUCUCAGCGUUGUGGCAUCAAAACCCGCGGAGAGAUGGGGCGGCCGUGCCGUCACAAAACCCAUUUUCAUGAAAGG
rnacentral:misc_RNA from 1 species